rnacentral:rRNA from 1 species
AUUGAACGCUGGAGGCAGGCCUAACACAUGCAAGUCGAACGGAGCGGCAGACGGGUGCGUAAUGCCUAGGACUCGGCCUGGGAGUGGUGGAUAACGUCCGGAACAGGGAGCGAAUACCGCAUACUAGCAGCAGAGGCUAUGGCGGAUUAGCGAGUUGGUGGGGUAAAGGCCUACCAAGGCGACGAUCCGUAACUGGUCUGAGAGGAUGAUCAGUCACACUGUAACUGAGACACGGUCCAGACUCCUACGGGAGGCAGCAGUGGGGAAUAUUGGACAAUGGGCGAAAGCCUGAUCCAGCCAUGCCGCGUGUGUGAAGAAGGUCUUCGGAUUGUAAAGCACUUUAAGUUGGGAGGCGUUACCAACAGAAUAAGCACCGGCUAACUUCGUGCCAGCAGCCGCGGUAAUAC